rnacentral:rRNA from 1 species
AUGGGCGUGUACCUCAAGAAACCCUAUGGAAACAGAGCAAAAACGCCAAAUUUCCUGAGCUCCAGAAUUUUGGCGGUACAACCUAAUAUGGUGAACACCAUGUUUAAGACCCCACAUCAUUUUACUCCUAAAGAGGCACAUGCUUUCCUCGAUGACUAUAAGAAUAUUGUUUGGAACCCCUAUUCUCUCACUAUGGAAGGUGUGUUCAAACCCAAGAGGGCUUUCUUAAUUUCUAUUUGUCGAGGCAUGCUGCCGUGGAGGCGUGGUACUAUCACCGCCGAUGUGUGUAUAGCUGAACCAUAUCACCCAGAUCGAGUGGCACGACAGUUUCGUCUUGACCAAGUUGUACCCUUUUCUCCUCUAGCGGGCAUGUAUACUCAAGACAAAAUUGGAAUUGCCUAUGCUUUUGGUCACACCUAUUAUCCUUGA